GGGCAUGUAGCUCAGUGGUAGAGCGUCUCUCUGAUACAGAGAAGGUCGAAGGUUCGAUCCCUUCCAUGCCCA
rnacentral:tRNA from 4 species